GAUGAACGCUGGCGGCGUGCCUAACACAUGCAAGUCGAACGGAAGGACGAUAAGCUUGUGUCUUUGACGUUUGCGGAUGGCGGGCGUGUAACGCGUGGAUAACGACCUUCUAUUUCUGGGAUAAUUACGGAAAUCCGUAUCUAAUAGCAGAUAAUAUGCUGAACCGCUGUGUGCAUUGGUGAUAGACGGUUUUGCCGUAUCGAAUAGCGGGUUCCGGGCUGGAUUAGCUAGUUGGUAAGGUCCCGGCCUAUCAAGGCGACGAUGCGUAGCCGACCUGUGAGGCUGAUCGGCCACACGGGAACGGAGACACGCUCCAGACUCCUACGGGAGGCAGCAGUGGGGAAUAGUAGGCAAUGGGCGAAAGCCUGACGCAGCAAGCGCGCGUGUGUGAUGAAGGCCUUCGGAUCGUAAAGCUCGGUUAUUAGGGAAGAACAGCUGUGGAAGUAAACGAGGCCUUCGUGACGGUACCGGAUAAGUAAGCACCGGCUAACUACGUG
rnacentral:rRNA from 1 species